rnacentral:snoRNA from 1 species
GGACCCCCAUGAUGUCCAGCACUGGGCUCUGAUCUCUGGUGAGGACAUGGUGCCCCCGCCCCGGGACCUUUGACCCCUGGGGUUCUGAGGGGUCC